AUUUUUUUUGUUUCUGGUUUGUGUUACUUUAUUUCAGGGUCAAUAUCAACAUUUGAGAAUAGUUUACAUCAUUGUUUCCAUCCAUUCCAUAAUUGGUUUCUAAGCACCCAGGACAGAAGACAGUGGAGGAAAAUAGGGGAGGCCUAUAUCCAGCAGUAGAUGCAAAGGGCUGAUUGAUGAUGAUAACGAUGAUGCUUGUUUUCAUCCAAUAUAAUAUUAAAUUUUCUUCAAUAAG
rnacentral:lncRNA from 1 species